rnacentral:rRNA from 1 species
CGGGAAACUGGGGAUAAUACCCUAUAGACUAUGGAUGCUGGAAUGCUGCGUAGUUGAAAGGGCCGCCGCUGUAGGAUGGGUCUGCGGCCGAUUAGGUUGUUGUUGGGGGAACGGCCCAACAAGCCUGUAAUCGGUACGGGUUGUGGGAGCAAGAGCCCGGAGAGGGAUUCUGAGACACGAAUCCAGGCCCUACGGGGCGCAGCAGGCGCGAAAACUUUACAAUGCGAGACACCGUGAUAAGGGAACUCUGAGUGCCCGUAAAAUCGGGCUGUCCAUCAGUUUAAAUAACUGGUGAAGAAAGGGCCGGGCAAGACCGGUGCCAGCCGCCGCGGUAACA